CAGGAGCCCUGCUCGUGGGGACGUCAUGUAAAUAAUUCGGAACAUACAGCAUUUUGUGUGUGCUUUUUUGUUCUCCCCUCAGCAUAAUGCAUUUGAGACUCAGUUUCGGUGUCCUGUUUAUUGUCGCUCCCGCCCCACCCCCGUUUGCUGUGUAAUAUUUAUUGCAACACAAUGCCUUACUUUCUUCCAGCUGGUGGACAGCUGAGUUGUAUCCAGUUUUUUCGCAACCCUGCAAGUGUGUACUUCCGGAUUUUUAGUGGAUACAUGCUGUCAGUUUUCUCAGUGUUUUCCAGAUGCAUCUGCUACACAUUGAUGUCUUAAAGAGAAGAAGAAAGGAACCUUAGCGGAGGCAAGGCUUCCUCACUGAGGAAAACCAGUGACAACUCUAAUAAACAUUGGUGUGUAUAUUCUAACACAGAGAGCAUUAUAAAGU